AUUGAACGCUGGCGGCAGGCCUAACACAUGCAAGUCGAGCGGAUGAAGGGAGCUUGCUCCUGGAUUCAGCGGCGGACGGGUGAGUAAUGCCUAGGAAUCUGCCUGGUAGUGGGGGAUAACGUCCGGAAACGGGCGCUAAUACCGCAUACGUCCUGAGGUAGGAAGUGGGGGAUCUUCGGACCUCACGCUAUCAGAUGAGCCUAGGUCGGAUUAGCUAGUUGGUGGGGUAAAGGCCUACCAAGGCGACGAUCCGUAACUGGUCUGAGAGGAUGAUCAGUCACACUGGAACUGAGACACGGUCCAGACUCCUACGGGAGGCAGCAGUGGGGAAUAUUGGACAAAGGGCGAAAGCCUGAUCCAGCCAUGCCGCGUGUGUGAAGAAGGUCUUCGGAUUGUAAAGCACUUUAAGUUGGGAGGAAGGGCAGUAAGUUAAUACCUUGCUGUUUUGACGUUACCAACAGAAUAAGCACCGGCUAACUUCGUG
rnacentral:rRNA from 1 species